rnacentral:rRNA from 1 species
AUUGAACGCUGGCGGAAUGCCUUACACAUGCAAGUCGAACGGCAGCACGGACUUCGGUCUGGUGGCGAGUGGCGAACGGGGGAGUAAUGUAUCGGAACGUGCCCAGUCGUGGGGGAUAACGUAGUGAAAAUUACGCUAAUACCGCAUACGAUCUAUGGAUGAAGGCGGGGGAUCGCAAGACCUCGCGCGAUUGGAGCGGCCGAUAUCCGAUUAGGUAGUUGGUGGGGUAAAGGCUCAGCAAGCCAACGAUCUGUAGCUGGUCUGAGAGGACGACCAGCCAGCCUGGAACUGAGACACGGUCCAGACUCCUACGGGAGGCAGCAGUGGGGAAUUUUGCACAAUGGGCCAAAGCCUGAUCCAGCCAUUCCGCGUGCAGGAUGAAGGCCCUCGGGUUGUAAACUGCUUUUGGACAGAACGAAAAGGUUUCUACUAAUAAUAGGAGCUCAUGACGGUACUGUAAGAAUAAGCACCGGCUAACUACGUGCCAGCAGCCGCCGUAA